AUUGAACGCUGGCGGCAGGCCUAACACAUGCAAGUCGAACGAGUGGCGGACGGGUGAGUAAUGUCUGGGAAACUGCCUGAUGGAGGGGGAUAACUACUGGAAACGGUAGCUAAUACCGCAUACCAUCGGAUGUGCCCAGAUGGGAUUAGCUAGUAGGUGGGGUAAAGGCUCACCUAGGCGACGAUCCCUAGCUGGUCUGAGAGGAUGACCAGCCACAAUGGAACUGUGACAAGGUCCAGACUCGUACGUGAGGCAGCAGUGGGGAAUAGUGCACAAUGGGCGCAAGCCUGAUGCAGACAGGCCGCGUGGAUGAAGAAGGCCUUAGGGUUGUUAAGUACUUUCAGCGAGGAGGCGUUACCCGCAGAAGAAGCACCGGCUAACUCCGUGCCAGCAGCCGCGGUAAUAC
rnacentral:rRNA from 1 species